AAAAAUCAACAAUGCAUUCCUUCAGCACAAACAACUAGUUGAAAUGAGGACUACCCAUGUGUGGCUUGUUGCCCUAGUCUUUCUUGUGCUAGCAUCAGGUACUCAUUUGUUCAUGUAACACAUUUGUGCAUAAUCUCUCCCAACAAAUAAUGGUCAUGUUGUGAUUGUCCCUUUUCUUCAUCACGAGAUUUUGCAGAUGUGGUAGUGGAGGCAACAAGAGAUAGCAUUAAAUUUGUCACAUGUGUGUCAAAACAAUUGACAAAUCCACCAUGUGAUAACAAAACUUGCGAAGACGCAUGCUCCAAACGUACAGGGCAAUACAAAUCUGGCGAGUGUGCUGCCGAGGGGUGCAAGUGCACAUUUUGCGUAGACCAUCCUCCAGCCAUCCACAGUAAUAAAAAAAUGGGUACUAACUAGCUAAGAUUGGAUAGUGUGUUGAGCGAAUAAGAGAAAAAAUCACAAAUGGUGUAGCAGCAAGGUUGUUCACACGUAUAAGCCAUAUGAAGAGGGAUAAGUAGUCUUGCUUCUUGAAUUAUCUUGCAUUAAGAAGUGGUGUCUAAAAUUUGAAGAAGUGGUCUAUAAAAUGUGCGUGGUUGAUUAUUUUCAUUGUUUUUAUUAAUUGUGAUGUGAAUUCAUGUAGACUGUGAAUGAGAACCAAUUUUUUUCCUUUGGACUUCCUAGUGCAAAGACAAAUUUCAAA
rnacentral:lncRNA from 1 species